rnacentral:rRNA from 1 species
AACGAACGUUAGCGGCGCGCUUAACACAUGCAAGUCGAACGAGAAAGGGAGCAAUCCCCGGUAAAGUGGCGCACGGGUGAGUAACACGUAGGCAACCUACCCCUUGGCGGGGGAUAACCUUCCGAAAGGAGGGCUAAUACCGCAUACGACCAUCAUGCCGCGAGGCGUGGUGGGGAAAGCCGGCCUCUUCAUGAAAGCUGGCACCGAGGGUUGGGCCUGCGCCCCCAUCAGCUAGUUGGUAGGGUAAUGGCCUACCAAGGCUUAGACGGGUAGCUGGUCUGAGAGGAUGAUCAGCCACACUGGAACUGAGACACGGUCCAGACUCCUACGGGAGGCUG